rnacentral:tRNA from 3 species
GGGGCCGUAGGGUAGCCUGGUGAUCCUCUCGGCUUUGGGAGCCGGUGACCCGAGUUCAAAUCUCGGCGGCCCCA